rnacentral:lncRNA from 1 species
GUUGUUGUGAAAUGACAGAAUUCAGUUGAAUUUUAGAUAAUUAACUAUCAACUUUAAUCAAAUGUUUAGAUUUAGAAGAUGCAGAUCUCUUCCAUUGGUCCAAAUUGAAUCAUAAACUAAGGAAAUGAAAUUACAUAAACAACAAUUGAUUUCAAUAUUAUCAACCUUUCUACAUGUUCUAGCUGUUCUCUUUUUUCAUUCUUUAUAUAAAGACUAUCAAAAAAUACCUCCCCUUUUCCCAAAAAAAUAUAAUUAAAUAGAAACAAGGGCCGUCUUUCCCCUCAGAGCUAUUCAGCUCUUUGAUUUGUAAUUGUUAUGGGGGUUAAAAAUCAUGAGGAGCUUUUUUUCACGAGCUCUGUCCAAUUCAGAAGUCAUGAACCCUUUACCAUUUAUAUUGCUGAUUUGCAGAAAAAACAAAGCGAUGUGUACGGGUUAUGUAAAAGGUUAAAGAGAUUUGUAAAGCAAACGUUGACAAAUGAAAAGGUUUUUAAUGACUUUAUCUAGCAAAUUGAUGCUAUGCAACAUUCAUCUUUCGAGUCUGAAUAGAAACCGGAAACGCGUAUGUAUCAAUUUGAUUGUAAACUACGAAAUGAAUUCGGAAUUUCGAUACAAUAUUUCUUCACAGUAAACAUUUAAGUUUUAACUUUUUAACUUUUUUAAGUAAUUCUAUUUUAUUGUUGCAGCAGUACUAGGGUUAUUUGCGAUUAAAUAAUAUUAAUGUUUUAUGUCUUAUUGUGUACUUCUUAAAAAGGGGGUGCUGAUUGUGUAAGUCAAAAGAAAAGCACAUGUUCAACUUGUUAAAGUAAACUGUUUUCUUUGUAACUGGAUCAUUAGUUUAUUUAUUUAAUCUAAAUUAUCACAAGCAAUUUCUGAAACUUAUUUGAAAAAUUCAAUAAAUGAAUCAUAAAUCUUCAGAUAGUUUUCUCCUGUCUGGUUUGUUGAUCUACCUGUAAGAGCUCAGGAACAAGUGAUUAGUGAUCUUAAUCCAGAUAUCCCUCAGACGUUAAAACUUACUGAUUAGAUUAUAAUUUAAAAAAGCCUAAGGGUUAUGCAAUGACAUGCAUAUGAUGAUAAUUGCUAAGAAAAAUGGUGUCAGGCUAUAAAAACGAUAACAAUUUGAAUGAUGGCGGAAGCGAAUUUGACGAUGGAGCAGGACAUUUGACGAUGGCGCUAGACAUUUGAACAGUGUGGGUCGCCAUCAUUAAACAGGCCAUGGAGAUCCCUGGGUUACUGCAGCCUUUGUAUGAAUCAGGCAACAAUGAUAAAAAAUAAGGCAUUUGACAGCAGGCAAAUUGUUGACCUUUUGUAUUUUUCAGCUUUUCAUUGUUUAAAAUAAGUGCUGUGUUCGUUUUUUGUCAAUGAACUACAUCCAAUAAUAUUUACCAUUAUAAUGAAUUAAAAGUAUCAUGAUUUUAAGCUUAAAAAACUUUUGAUUAAAGUUCCAAAAUUGAAAUGCAAACAACAUCGGAUGUGUUGAUUUAUAUCAGAAUGGGGACUUCUUUUGGAGCCACACAAAUGGUUAAUGCAUAGACCUAUUACACAAGUCCAAUUCCUAAUGUUGCUUAUUGGUGCCCCCCCUUUUAAAAUCCUGGAUUUGGAUCUGAACAAGCAUCUUUAAAAACAUACCAGAUAGAAUGUAACUAUUACAAAACCUGCUGGUGGUUAAAGGGGAUAGUAAAAUGUAUUUUAUAUUGCCUGGUUCAUACAGAGAAUUAAUGUUUAUGGAUUGAAAUGUAUAUGUGUUUGUGUGUGUUUGUGUGUGUUUGAUUUUGUCAUUCUCUAAGAAGUAAAAAGUUGAAAAAUUGUAAAAUAGUAGUUUGAUUUCAAAUAUUUAUUAUACUAAUUGUUACAUAUACAGGUUGUUGUUAAUAUUAUUUACUGCCAUAGUACUUCGGUGCAUUCAAGUGACUCUGAAAAAAAUGUGAUUAAGUCAAAUUCUAGUUUUCUGUUUUAAGAAAGGAUAUAGAUUUAAAUAUUGAAAGUUUGUUAAAGAGAAAUUGUUUCAUAAAAUGUAUAUUAAAUAUUCAACUAAAAAAAUUCCUUGACAGAUUUAAGAACAAGAUAUUUUUGUUGACCUAAACCACUUUUAUUAAACCAUUUAAUGGACAUUUUUUU